GUCUACCCCACCACCACUAAGAACAUCAGCUAAAAUUGGAAUGAUACAGGGAAGAUUAGCAUGGCCCUUGCACCAAGAUGAAAUGCAGAUUCAUGAAACAUUACAUCUUUUA
ensembl:snRNA U6 U6 spliceosomal RNA